GGAACGAACGCUGGCGGCAUGCCUAACACAUGCAAGUCGAACGCUUGCCGAGGCUUCGGUUUCGGCAGGAGUGGCGCACGGGUGAGUAGCGCGUGGGAACCUGCCUUGGAGUGGGGGACAACCGAGGGAAACUUCGGCUAAUACCGCAUACGCCGGUUGUCUUGCAAGAGAUGGCCGGGAAAGAUUUAUCGCUCCGAGAGGGGCCCGCGUCGGAUUAGGUAGUUGGCGGGGUAACGGCCCACCAAGCCUGUGAUCCGUAGCUGGUCUGAGAGGAUGAUCAGCCACACUGGGACUGAGACACGGCCCAGACUCCUACGGGAGGCAGCAGUGGGGAAUAUUGGACAAUGGGCGCAAGCCUGAUCCAGCAAUGCCGCGUGAGUGAUGAAGGCCUUCGGGUUGUAAAGCUCUUUCGCCCGCGACGAUGAUGACGGUAGCGGGAGAAGAAGCCCGGCUAACUUCGUGCCAGCAGCCGC
rnacentral:rRNA from 1 species